GGAAGCGGGUUAAAAUUCCUGC
rnacentral:misc_RNA from 1 species